rnacentral:tRNA from 1 species
GCCUGGGUGGCUCAGUCGGUUGAGCAUCUGACUUUGGCUCAGGUCAUGAUCUCACAGUCUGUGAGUCCGAGCCCCGCGUCGGGCU